AGAGUUUGAUCCUGGCUCAGGACGAACGCUGGCGGCGUGCUUAACACAUGCAAGUCGAGCGGUAAGGCCUCUUCGGGGGUACACGAGCGGCGAACGGGUGAGUAACACGUGGGUGACCUGCCCUCAGCUCUGGGAUAAGCCUGGGAAACUGGGUCUAAUACCGGAUAUGACCUUUCACUGCAUGGUGGGGGGUGGAAAGUUUUUCGGCUGGGGAUGGGCCCGCGGCCUAUCAGCUUGUUGGUGGGGUGAUGGCCUACCAAGGCGACGACGGGUAGCCGGCCUGAGAGGGCGACCGGCCACACUGGGACUGAGAGACACGGCCCAGACUCCUACGGGAGGCAGCAGUGGGGAAUAUUGCGCAAUGGGCGGAAGCCUGACGCAGCGACGCCGCGUGGGGGAUGACGGCCUUCGGGUUGUAAACCUCUUUCGCCAGGGACGAAGAGUGAUUGACGGUACCUGGAUAAGAAGCACCGGCCAACUACGUGCCAGCAGCCGCGGUAAUACGUAGGGUGCGAGCGUUGUCCGGAAUUAUUGGGCGUAAAGCGCGCGCAGGCGGUUUCUUAAGUCUGAUGUGAAAGCCCCCGGCUCAACCGGGGAGGGUCAUUGGAAACUGGGAAACUUGAGUGCAGAAGAGAGAGUGGAAUUCCACGUGUAGCGGUGAAAUGCGUAGAGAUGUGGAGGAACACCAGUGGCGAAGGCGACUCUCUGGUCUGUAACUGACGCUGAGGCGCGAAAGCGUGGGGAGCGAACAGGAUUAGAUACCCUGGUAGUCCACGCCGUAAACGAUGGGUGCUAAGUGUUAGAGGGUUUCCGCCCUUUAGUGCUGCAGCUAACGCAUUAAGCACUCCGCCUGGGGAGUACGGUCGCAAGACUGAAACUCAAAGGAAUUGACGGGGGCCCGCACAAGCGGUGGAGCAUGUGGUUUAAUUCGAAGCAACGCGAAGAACCUUACCAGGUCUUGACAUCCUUUGCCACUUCUAGAGAUAGAAGGUUCCCCUUCGGGGGACAAAGUGACAAGUGGUGCAUGGUUGUCGUCAGCUCGUGUCGUGAGAUGUUGGGUUAAGUCCCGCAACGAGCGCAACCCUUGAUCUUAGUUGCCAGCAUUCAGUUGGGCACUCUAAGGUGACUGCCGGUGACAAACCGGAGGAAGGUGGGGAUGACGUCAAAUCAUCAUGCCCCUUAUGACCUGGGCUACACACGUGCUACAAUGGAUGGUACAAAGGGCUGCGAGACCGUGAGGUGGAGCGAAUCCCUUAAAGUGGGUCUCAGUUCGGAUCGGGGUCUGCAACUCGACCCCGUGAAGUUGGAGUCGCUAGUAAUCGCAGAUCAGCAACGCUGCGGUGAAUACGUUCCCGGGCCUUGUACACACCGCCCGUCACGUCACGAAAGUUGGUAACACCCGAAGCCGAUGGCCUAACCCCCUGGUGGGGAGGGAGUUGUCGAAGGUGGGACUGGCGAUUGGGACGAAGUCGUAACAAGGUAACCGU
rnacentral:rRNA from 1 species